rnacentral:rRNA from 1 species
UACGAAGGGGGCUAGCGUUGCUCGGAAUCACUGGGCGUAAAGGGUGCGUAGGCGGGUCUUUUAAGUCAGGGGUGAAAUCCUGGAGCUCAACUCCAGAACUGCCUUUGAUACUGAGGAUCUUGAGUUCGGGAGAGGUGAGUGGAACUGCGAGUGUAGAGGUGAAAUUCGUAGAUAUUCGCAAGAACACCAGUGGCGAAGGCGGCUCACUGGCCCGAUACUGACGCUGAGGUGCGAAAAGCGUGGGGAGCAAACAGGG